AAAAAAACAUGGAAACAUUAAUGACUGAAGAUACCAACUCUCUAAGAUUAUAUAUAUCACUGACGAAGAUUCCAAAAGAAUGGAACCUUUCUAAUGGCAAGAAUAUGUAAAGAAGAAUUCUACUGCACUCUGUAAUAUCAAGAAUAUCCACAUCCAAGGUGCUGAAAUACCCAUGGGAAAGAACACUGUUUUGCCAGACAUAAAGGGAUUGCACAAAGCCAGAAGUCUGACGGAAAUGUCAUACUGACAUGGAUUGUUGACAGUGACUGAAGACAUACAAUGAAGAAAAGACAUUAUCAUCAACAAAUGGGCUAAUGUGUUCAACAGAACAUAGGUGGCUAAGAGAAUCAAAAUACAUCUUUAGAAUUCAAACUACCAUCACCAUGGCUUGUGCGAUGAAUGCACUCAGGACUGACUUUUCAUUAUUAUCCCUUCAAAUCUCGACAAGACCUUAAAUGAUAGGUCAGAAGGCAUGGUUUACAAACACUCUACUCUUCCUAAACUUCAGGUACAAAAUGAAGAAGUAGGCAAGCUUUUCAGAUGAUUGAAUAUUGGAAGGAGCCUGUUGAAGUCAGAAAGCACAUGCACUUAAGCACCAGUGUUGGUAAUUCAGUCUCAAGGCAAAACAAGCACUUAACUCAUCCCAUGUCUCCUCCCCCUGUCUCCAAGAGGAUGCUCAUGGGAUGAACUGUGGGGUGGAGGGAAUGGGACAGUGACAACAUCUGGACUUUAAAAAAUAAAAGUAAUAAGGAAAUAGAACUCAUAAUUUUUUAUUUUCUAUUCUAAAUAGGCUAUUUUUAGAUCAAUUUUGUGGCUUAAAUGGAAUAAGAAAUGACUAAUUAGAUAACUGUA
rnacentral:sRNA from 1 species